GAUGAAGAACGUAGCGAAAUGCGAUAAGUAAUGUGAAUUGCAGAAUUCAGUGAAUCAUCGAAUCUUUGAACGCACAUUGCGCCCGCCAGUAUUCUGGCGGGCAUGCCUGUUCGAGCGUCAUUUCAACCAUCAAGCCCCCGGGCUUGUGUUGGGGACCUGCGGCUGCCGCAGGCCCUGAAAAGCAGUGGCGGGCUCGCUGUCACACCGAGCGUAGUAGAUUUUAUCUCGCUCUGGGCGUGCCGCGGGUUCCGGCCGUUAAACCACCCUUUUAACCCAAGGUUGACCUCGGAUCAGGUAGGAAGCCCGCUGAACUUAAGCAUAUCAAUAAGCGGAGGA
rnacentral:misc_RNA from 1 species